AGGAGGCCUGGGGCUCCUGGGGAGCUCCUAGACACUGAGGAGCCAGAGCUUUGCUCAUGCAGGUCUCUGCCCCAAGGAACUUGCUCUGCCUGAUGCUGUGAUCUUUGAGUCAUUUGACCUCUGCCUGGUUGCUGAGGCAGUGUCCUUGGCUGUAGACGGGGUGAGCUGCUGUGAGGGCUAUUUGUUGUUAGCAAAAGCCUCUGGGUGGAAGAGAGAAGGGCUUACUGGGGAGGCAGAGCGCUGCUGGUCAAACAACCUUGAUCGCGUGGACAGGAAAGAAAUCAAGCAAACAAGUCAAAGAGGAGGGCACAGGCUGCAUCCUGGCUGCGCCUGCCUGCUCUUCCUGUCCCAGCUGGAGGAUGGACCCCCACCCCCUCAGCUCUGACUCAUGUGUCAUGACUGCAGGUUUCUGCUGGGGACGCCCCAUGAGGAAGGUCUGCCUUUCCAGCUUGCUCUCCUGAGGAAGUGGUAUGCAGGUCUGCCUGUAGUUGUUCCCUGCCCUCCGGUGUGUCCACUUCUCACUACAGUUUUUUAUCAUCCACAAACUUGGACAGAGCACACUUCACUCCCUCGUCCAAGUCACUGAUGAAGACAUUGAAGAGUAUCGGUCCAAGGACUGAGCCCUGCAGGACCCCACUACCCACGCCCUUCCAGGUCAGUACCGACCCAUCCACUACCCCUCUCUGGGUAUGACUCUCUAGCCAAUUUGCCACCCACUGGACUGUGUAAUUAUCCAAGUCACAGCCUCUUAACUUGUUCACCAGUAUGGGGUGGGAUACCAUAUCAAAGGCCUUCCUGAAGUCCAAGUAUACGACAUCCACCCCUCCUCCUGCGUCGAGGCGUUUUGUAACCUGGUCAUAAAAAGAGACUAAAUUAGUCAGGCAUGAUCUACCUGCUACGAACCCAUGCUGGUUUACCCUCAGCAUAAUUUUUCCUGCUGGGC
rnacentral:lncRNA from 1 species